AUAACUACGCUCUUGCUGCGUAACCGAACUAAGUAGGUUAUGCUUAAUCCCGGCACCAGGUGUUGGGACGAGACGUUUCCCGGGCGGUGAUGCCCAGUACCAACCCGAUCAGGAAGCGCACGCAAUUCAGGGAUAGCCUGAAGGUCUCUCCGGCCUGACGGUGAAAUCAAAGGAGAUAAGGAGUGAUUCGGCUGUCUGCCACCUGGUCACUCCCGACAAUCAAGGCAGGAUAAGCAUGUAGAAAGCAUAUGGUCGCCUUGCCUGGACGCGGGUUCGACUCCCGCCAGCUCCACUU
rnacentral:tmRNA from 1 species